GAGAAGGACACAAGGCAGCCCUCGGGGAGAAGGACACAAGGCAGCCCUCGGGGAGAAGGACACAAGGCAGCCCUCGGUGAGAAGGACACAAGGCAGCCCUCGGGGAGAAGGACACAAGGCAGCCCUCGGGGAGAAGGACACAAGGCAGCCCUCGGGGAGAAGGACACAAGGCAGCCCUCGGGGAGAAGGACACAAGGCAGCAUUCCCGACCAAGCGUACAAUGGCUGCAAAAGGCAGGUUUUCUUAGGGGGCAUUACAGCCACAAAGAGGAUGGGGCCGUGACAUUUGAAGCAUUAUCAAGUGCUUGUCAAAUUGUGACUGAGAGACUAAAUGAAGGGUGUACAGCCUGAGCAAAACAAAGCAGAGCUCAUGCCUUUCAAGCAACUUUUUUCAAGUCAUUAUAGUCACAUUGUGCACAAUUACAAUAUAUAUUUAAAAACGAAUAGCGCAACAUUUGUAUCACAACUAAAGUUGUAUAAAUAACUAAUUUAAGCAUAUACAGUAGCAGUCAAGUGGACACCUACUCAUUCCAGGGUAUUUCUAUAUUUUUACUAUUUUCUACUUUGUAGAAAAACUAUGAAGUAACACAUAUGGAAUCAUGUAGUAACCAAUUUUUUAUUUUUUUUAAGUGUGAAGCAAAUCAAAAUUAAUUCAUCAUAGUAGCCAACCUUUGCCUUGACAGCUUUAAACUCUUGGCCUUCUCUCAACCAGCUUCAUGAAGUAGUCACCUGGAAUGCAUUUCAAUUAACAGGUGUGCCUUGUUAAAAGACCAUUUGUGGAAUUGUUCCUUCUUAAUGUGUUUGAGCCGAUCAGUUGUGUUGUGACAAGGUAGGGGUGGUAAACAAAACAGAGCCCUAUUUGGUAAAAGUCCAAGUCCAUAUUAUGGCAAGAACGGCGCAAAUGAGCAAAGAGAAAACAGGCUAUUACUUUAAGACAUGAAGGUCAGUCCAUUACUACUUUAAGAAGACAUGAAGGUCAGUCCAUUACUACUUUAAGAAGACAUGAAGGUCAGUCCAUUACUACUUUAAGAAGACAUGAAGGUCAGUCCAUUACUACUUUAAGAAGACAUGAAGGUCAGUCCAUUACUACUUUAAGAAGACAUGAAGGUCAGUCCAUUACUACUUUAAGAAGACAUGAAGGUCAGUCCAUUACUACUUUAAGAAGACAUGAAGGUCAGUCCAUUACUACUUUAAGAAGACAUGAAGGUCAGUCCAUUACUACUUUAAGAAGACAUGAAGGUCAGUCCAUUACUACUUUAAGAAGACAUGAAGGUCAGUCCAUUACUACUUUAAGAAGACAUGAAGGUCAGUCCAUUACUACUUUAAGAAGACAUGAAGGUCAGUCCAUUACUACUUUAAGAAGACAUGAAGGUCAGUCCAUUACUACUUUAAGAAGACAUGAAGGUCAGUCCAUCACUACUUUAAGAAGACAUGAAGGUCAGUCCAUCACUACUUUAAGAAGACAUGAAGGUCAGUCCAUCACUAAGAAGACAUGAAGGUCAGUCCAUCACUACUAAGACAUGAAGGUCAGUCCAUCACUACUAAGACAUGAAGGU